rnacentral:rRNA from 1 species
GCUUCCUUCGGGAAGUGGAUUAGCGGCGGACGGGUGAGUAACACGUGGGUAACCUGCCUCAAAGUGGGGGAUAGCCUUCCGAAAGGAAGAUUAAUACCGCAUAACAUGAGAGAAUCGCAUGAUUUUUUUAUCAAAGAUUUAUUGCUUUGAGAUGGACCCGCGGCGCAUUAGCUAGUUGGUAAGGUAACGGCUUACCAAGGCAACGAUGCGUAGCCGACCUGAGAGGGUGAUCGGCCACAUUGGAACUGAGACACGGUCCAGACUCCUACGGGAGGCAGCAGUGGGGAAUAUUGCGCAAUGGGGGAAACCCUGACGCAGCAACGCCGCGUGGGUGAUGAAGGUCUUCGGAUUGUAAAGCCCUGUUUUCUGGGACGAUAAUGACGGUACCAGAGGAGGAAGCCACGGCUAACUACGUGCCAGCAGCCGCGGUAAUACGUAGGUGGCGAGCGUUGUCCGGAUUUACUGGGCGUAAAGGGUGCGUAGGCGGAUGUUUAAGUGGGAUGUGAAAUCCCCGGGCUUAACCUGGGGGCUGCAUUCCAAACUGGAUAUCUAGAGUGCAGGAGAGGAAAGCGGAAUUCCUAGUGUAGCGGUGAAAUGCGUAGAGAUUAGGAAGAACACCAGUGGCGAAGGCGGCUUUCUGGACUGUAACUGACGCUGAGGCACGA